AGUGAACGCUGGCGGUAGGCCUAACACAUGCAAGUCGAACGGCAGCACAGUAAGAGCUUGCUCUUACGGGUGGCGAGUGGCGGACGGGUGAGGAAUACAUCGGAAUCUACUUUUUCGUGGGGGAUAACGUAGGGAAACUUACGCUAAUACCGCAUACGACCUACGGGUGAAAGCAGGGGAUCUUCGGACCUUGCGCGAUUGAAUGAGCCGAUGUCGGAUUAGCUAGUUGGCGGGGUAAAGGCCCACCAAGGCGACGAUCCGUAGCUAGUCUGAGAGGAUGAUCAGCCACACUGGAACUGAGACACGGUCCAGACUCCUACGGGAGGCAGCAGUGGGGAAUAUUGGACAAUGGGCGCAAGCCUGAUCCAGCCAUACCGCGUGGGUGAAGGAGGCCUUCGGGUUGUAAAGCCCUUUUGUUGGGAAAGAAAAGCAGCAGGUUAAUACCCCGCUGUUCUGACGGUACCCAAAGAAUAAGCACCGGCUAACUUCGUG
rnacentral:rRNA from 1 species